GAUCCUAGUCACCCUGAAAGCGCCCAGUCUCCUCUGAUCUCCGAAGCUAAGUAGGGUCAGGCCUGGUUAGUACUUGGAUGGGAGAUCAGUGGGUCCUAGACAUUUAAAAUA
rnacentral:rRNA from 1 species